rnacentral:rRNA from 1 species
GUUCAUGGUCAUGCCACCCUGAACACGCCUGAUCCCGUCUGAUCUCGGAAGCUAAGCAGGGUCAGGCCCGGUUAGUCCUUGGGUGGGAGACCACCUAGGAAGACCAGGUGCUGUAGGCA